AAGAUCACUGAAGUUAAGCAACAUCGAGCCUGGUCAGUACCUAGAUGGGUGACCGCUUGGGAAUACCAGGGGCUGA